rnacentral:tRNA from 1 species
GCUGGGGUAGCUCAGUUGGUUAGAGCAUCAGAUUGUGGAUCUGAGGGCCGGGAGUUCAAAUCUCCCCCCCAGUA